ACAGGUCUCAAGCGUUGUUCGGAUUCAUUGGGCGUAAAGGGUGCGUAGGUGGUGACGCAAGUCUGGUGUGAAAUCUCGGAGCUUAACUCCGAAACUGCACCGGAUACUGCGUGACUCGAGGACUGUAGAGGAGAUCGGAAUUCACGGUGUAGCAGUGAAAUGCGUAGAUAUCGUGAGGAAGACCAGUUGCGAAGGCGGAUCUCUGGGCAGUUCCUGACACUGAGGCACGAAGGCCAGGGGAGCAAACGGGAUUAGAUACCCCGGUAGUCCUGGCAGUAAACGGUGCACGUUUGGUGUGGGCGGGUUCAGACCCCGUCCGUGCCGGAGCUAACGCGUUAAACGUGCCGCCUGGGAAGUACGGUCGCAAGAUUA
rnacentral:rRNA from 1 species